rnacentral:rRNA from 1 species
AGUGAACGCUGGCGGUAGGCCUAACACAUGCAAGUCGAACGGCAGCACAGUAAGAGCUUGCUCUUACGGGUGGCGAGUGUCGGACGGGUGAGGAAUACAUCGGAAUCUACUUUUUCGUGGGGGAUAACGUAGGGAAACUUACGCUAAUACCGCAUACGACCUACGGGUGAAAGCAGGGGAUCUUCGGACCUUGCGCGACUGAAUGAGCCGAUGUCGGAUUAGCUAGUUGGCGGGGUAAGGGCCCACCAAGGCGACGAUCCGUAGCUGGUCUGAGAGGAUGAUCAGCCACACUGGAACUGAGACACGGUCCAGACUCCUACGGGAGGCAGCAGUGGGGAAUAUUGGACAAUGGGCGCAAGCCUGAUCCAGCCAUACCGCGUGGGUGAAGAAGGCCUUCGGGUUGUAAAGCCCUUUUGUUGGGAAAGAAAAGCAGCAGGUUAAUACCCCGCUGUUCUGACGGUACCCAAAGAAUAAGCACCGGCUAACUUCGUG